UGAGCACUUUAUUGUUUAGUUUUUGCUGUUCUGAUUCUAAAAGAGACAGCUCUGAUGUAUGGGAUCAGAUAUAUUCCAACACUGACCACUGAAAGGACCCACAGCACAGAGGAACAAUAUGAAGCAGGGAGACUGAGAACAGAGUGUUAAGAAUGUUCAGAUGUCUCUUUCUAUCUCUAUCUCAGUAGCUCCGGGAUUAUCUGUACUGACAAACAUCAUCCGCACACCGAAGACAUUACUGCGCCAAUCAUAAAACGCAAUGGAAAAUGCGUGAGCUUUGUUCCCUCGCAU